rnacentral:rRNA from 1 species
UACGAAGGGGACUAGCGUUGUUCGGAAUUACUGGGCGUAAAGCGCACGUAGGCGGCUUUGUAAGUUAGAGGUGAAAGCCCGGAGCUCAACUCCGGAAUUGCCUUUAAGACUGCAUCGCUUGAAUCCGGGAGAGGUGAGUGGAAUUCCGAGUGUAGAGGUGAAAUUCGUAGAUAUUCGGAAGAACACCAGUGGCGAAGGCGGCUCACUGGACCGGUAUUGACGCUGAGGUGCGAAAGCGUGGGGAGCAAACAGG